AUAAUGGCAGUGAUGAAGAGGAGUACGCGCACGCCGCCGGCAGAGAGGACGGUUCACAGGCUGAAAGGCCGUCCCGGAGAGGCGCAGCGGAAGGUAGCUUCGGAGCCGGAACACUCAGAAAGGGCGGCGCGGCCGCAGCCAUUUAGGUGUUCCCGGGCGGCCCCCGUUAAAAGCCCUAAUGAGGCCGGAAGCACAUUCCGGUGAACAAAGGUGGUACCGCGGUUUUGAUCGCCCUUUGC
rnacentral:ncRNA from 1 species